CCUGGGGAGGUGCAGCCCUGCGAGCACAGCUGAUGGCAAUCCGGCUGUGGGGUGGGGCUGAGACGGGCUCCUCCCCUCCCUGACCGCAUUUAAGGGCUGGGAAGCAAAGGGGCAGCAUCUGAGUCUGGCUGUGCUUCCUUGAGGGUGUGGGGGUGAGUUCUUCUGUACUGGAGGGCUGUGAUCUACUCCUUUGCUGGGGGUUCAUGGCUGCAUUUUGGGGCUGGCAGCCAUCUGUACCUGGAAACUGCUUCUUUGGGGGAGUGAGUGAGUGAGUACUGGUCCUUGGAAUGGGGUGGCAGCAGAGAGCUGCAGCGCUCCCGAGUGCUGUAAGGACUGCACGGAGAGACGUGCGGGUCUUCACGGGAACAGCAAGGAACCGAAAGCUGCAUUUCCUGGGAUGCCCUGGAACCCCACUUUGCUGACUGGUAAUUGUCUGCCCAGCAGGCAGGUCUUCAAUGAAGAUAUUGGACAGAACAGGCCUGAAGAGCACUCAGGAUGGCAUACCAGCUGCUUUUAACACAAUGGAGCAGCACUCAUUAGGCCAGCCGGUUCAGCUACUUCUUCAUCUAGCAAGCAAUGUACCCGUCCAAGUAGCCGGCUGCAAUCUUUGAGAGAAUUUCAAGGGAUAGCACAUCAAAGGCUUUGCCUCAAUCAUGGGGUUGGGUCACUGCUUUGAGUGUGCUAGCGUGGCUGACCAUAAUCCUGUAACUGACAUCCUGUAGCUGGACAGAGACCAUUUGCACUCCAUCCAGGCUGUUUGAGACUCACGGCCAUGCUGAGAGUCACACUGAUUUCAGCGUGUGCAGUCAUUUUGCAUCAACCCAAUUGGCUUUAGCUUUACAAAUAAUUUGUCUCAACC
ensembl:lncRNA